GCCUGCAGCUGUACCACCAUGUGCUCUGCUCCUAUCAGCUCUCAUAAGCUAAACAGGGUUGAGCGGGGCCAGUACUUGGCUAGGUGACCUCCAAGGAAGACCUAGGUGCUGCAAGAA
rfam:Chelonia mydas contig168118, whole genome shotgun sequence.